rnacentral:lncRNA from 1 species
UACAUGUGGUUUAGAAUUUCAGUAAUCAAACCAUAAUAGCUUAAAAAUACCAAGUUAGCUACCAAAUCUAUGUGCAGACAAGAUUAGGAUUCAAUAAUGUGCUGACUAGUUUCAUUCACUCUAAACAUAUUAUUUUCAGAUUUGACUUAAAUAGCUAAGUUACUACUUUAUCGCUUUGUCCAAACCAAUGCCUUCCCUCUCCUUCCUUCUACAGUACCAUCUUUUUUCCUGCUCAAUAUUAUCAAACCAAGCUACAAAUCUAAUUAAACUGUCUUGAUGCCAAAAUCUCUGCUCCUGGAGAAAUGCAUCAUGCAGCACAUCUAGAGUGAAACUAAGGGUUUAGUUCUGGAGGCAUUAUGUUGGUGGCCGUGGGAGGAAGUCAGUCAAUCAUUUAGUUCUGCUGAGAUAAGCUUGGACCCAGUCGAAAGAAAGUUAAAAUCUCCAAAGAAUGGAAAGACUGAAAUACAAGAAAAAGAGACAGAAGCUACAAGAGAAGAGAGAAGAAAUAAAAAAGAAAGACAGGAACUUCACGUUCUUAAAAUAAAAGGUAAAACUUCCCUUCUAGACUCUAUUGCUCAAGAUUUUCAGCAUUGACCGCGAUAACAAAAACUUCUAAGGCUUUUCGAAGUAAGUCUUUCGAAAAAUUUCACUUAUUUUUUUUAACUCACUAACUAUAUCCAGAGGGAAACAAAAUUCAACUGAAAUAUGAAGCUCUCUUGGAUGUCAUAGACAGCCCAUACUACAUGUUUUCCAAAAGGGAGGAAGUUUUCCAAAAAUCUGUAGAAUGAGGUAGGUGUUUGUUCAUUCUGGGCAAAUCAUCCAUUAACAUUCAGAAGACUUUUAAGUAUGCCAUGAGAGAUUCUACCCAUAGCCUCUAUAGCACUUGUAUUUCUUCAGCUAAUUAUAUGAAUACAUUAAUUAACAGUGGCAAGGACAAGCCUCAGCCCUCUAAAGGCAGGCAGUGACUUUACAAUUCACAGAGAAUAAAUUGGAAUCAAAAUAAGGCUUGGCUUCUGUCAAUGGUGUGCUGGUGCGUG